AGCUUUGCUCGGAGGCGCUAUUGUAACCAAUGACGUUCUACCGAGGUGCGAUUGUUGCUAGUUAAAAAAAAAAUUAAAUAUAAAAAUUAUAAUUUUUAAGUGAUCUGCUUUGUGGCACUUAUGCAUAGAU